AACGAACGCUGGCGGCAUGCCUCAUACAUGCAAGUCGAACGAGAAAGUCCCUCGGGAUGAGUAUAGUGGCGCACGGGUGAGUAACACGUAGGUGACCUACCUUCGAGUUGGGAAUAACAUCGGGAAACCGGUGCUAAUACCGAAUGAUCUAAAUCAAUUGAAUAAUGAUUUAGCAAAGAGGGGUAAGUUUAUUAUCUCUUGCUUGAAGAAGGGCCGUGCGGAACAUUAGCUAGAUGGUGGGGUAAGGAGCCUACCAUGGCUUCGAUGUUUAGUCUGGUCUGAGAGGAUGAUCAGCCACACUGGAACUGAGACACGGUCCAGACUCCUACGGGAGGGCAGCAGUAGGGAAGUAUUGCGCAAUAGGGGGAAACCCGGUACGACGCAGCAAUAGCCG
rnacentral:rRNA from 1 species